rnacentral:rRNA from 1 species
CGGGUGGAUCCGCAAAGUCGGCCCGCGAAAUUCAGCUCGGAAGGCUGGUGUGGAUGUCUUGGUCGAGAUCUUCUGUGGACUCGCCGAGCGUUCGACUGCCGGUCUGACGUGUGCACUUUUCGCAGGCAGAGCGCCACGACCGGUUCUCGGGCAGUCAGAAGGCGGCGAGGAAGGUAGGCGGGCGCUUCGGCGCUUGCUGUUAUAGCCUCGCCUGUCCUGAGCUGCUUCUUGGGGACCGAGGAGCCGCCGCCCGGCUUGUAGCUACCCUGCUCUCCUGGGGGCGAUUCGAUUGGCAGAGACUGGGCAACCGUGUCUGCCGACUGCCCUCCUGGACAGAUCUGGGGUGCGCCAGUAGCUGGCCGGGCACAGGGUCGGUGGCGAAUCGGUCGGCACUCCACCCGACCCGUCUUGAAACACGGACCAAGGAGUCUAACAUGCGCGCGAGUCGUUGGGUGGUACGAAACCCGAAGGCAAAGUGAAAGCGAGGGCCGUCCUUUGCGACGUGCUCAGGUGGGAUCCCUGCUCUUUCCAGGGGCAGGGCGCACCACUGGCCCGUCUCGUUCGCGCCGUCGAGGAGGCGGAGCAAGAGCGUGCACGUUGGGACCCGAAAGAUGGUGAACUAUGCCUGAGUAGGAUGAAGCCAGAGGAAACUCUGGUGGAGGUCCGCAGCGAUUCUGACGUGCAAAUCGAUCGUCAAACUUGGGUAUAGGGGC